rnacentral:misc_RNA from 1 species
UCUCCGUUGGUGAACCAGCGGAGGGAUCAUUACCGAGUUUACAAACUCCCAACCCUAUGUGAACCAUACCUAUCGUUGCUUCGGCGGGCUUAGCCCCCGCGCCCUCCGGGGCGCCGGGAAACAGGCGCCCGCCGGAGACCCAAACUCAAUGUUUUUCAUGCAGUAUUAUCUGAGUGGCAAACGCAAAAAUAAAUCAAAACUUUCAACAACGGAUCUCUUGGCUCUGGCAUCGAUGAAGAACGCAGC